GUGCUCGCUUCAGCAGCACAUAUGCUAAAAUUGGAAUGAUACAGAGAAGAUUAGCAUGGGCCCUGAACAAAGAUGACACGAAGAUUUGUGAAGCGUUCCAUAUUUUA
rnacentral:snRNA from 1 species